CUUGUGAUCGGUCGUGUGUUUUAAAAUAAUUUUCUGAUCGAUUUGUCUGCGAAAGUUUAAUUAUAUUAAUAUAUAAAAUGUUCGAUUGAUUGAUUUUUUCUUCUCACUUGGGUUUCUUUAACGUUAGAUAUCGAAUUUCAAUCGAAGUGUAUCGCAGUCACCUUGAAAGUGUAAAUUGAUCAAUAUGCAUUAGUUCGGUUCUUCAUUUACGAUGUCGAAACUGCUGGUUUCCGUUCCCGAUUUUACUGACUCGACGAUUAAACAGGCACUAACUAUAAGUAGCACUAACUAACCCAUAUAGAUAGACGUCUUCGAGCAGAAGGAAAACAUUACUUUCAAUAAUGUCUUCAGAUUAUUCUUCCGCGUUAAGAAGUCCAACCAUUGAAUUCGUUUAUCACUGUUUGUGAGAUACAAUCUAAGGAAACGUGAUUGUAAUUUUCUGUUACGAAGAGUUUAAUAGAAUUUCAAGUGUUUGUCGACCAGCUGCCUCUAACAAACUUCACAAACAGAGUUAAAAAAGAAGAGUUAACUCAUUUUUCUCUCGCCACGGCUCUCAAACGUUUCUUAGCACUUGAUACUUUAAAAUCAUGUAAAUUAUCCAGCAAACAAACACCUCGGCCACGAAUUCGAUAUUCCAAAUAAGUUUAACACUCUCUGUACUAAUGUAAAACAUUUUUUAGCAUUUUUAGAGUUAUUAAUCGUUAAGCAAGAGUUGGAAAAGGCAAUCGCUAUUUGCAAGAGACAGAGAAGGCAAAUUUAUACACUGAACUGAUUCAAUUUGUAUAGAACCAGAAUUGAAUAGAACUGCAUUGAAUUUAAAACCCAGACACGACUUUUCCCUUCGUAUUUCGUUCAAAGAACCUACAAUUUCCACCACAAAAUAUGUUUAAAAGGCCAAAUCACCAAAGCUUUCAUUUCAAAAAGGACGACGAAUUCUGCCCUGUCUAUUCAUAAUCCCCCAAAAACAUUUUCUCUAAAAAAUAACGAAAACUCUGCCUAUUCCUACAGUGUAACAAAAGGAGAAACAUCCUGGAACUUUUUAAUUGGAGCUAUACUCUACAACAAUAUUUCCAAAACUACUUAUAUUCGG